GCCUCUGUGGUGAAAUGGUAGACACGGCAGACUCAAAAUCUGCUGCUUGCAAGAGCAUGCUGGUUCAAGUCCGGUCAGGGGCA
rfam:Wolbachia pipientis strain wPpe Wolbachia_wPpe_contig3, whole genome shotgun sequence.